CGACGCCAUGCAUCUCUCCAUGCUGGAAGACGUCCGAGUUGGAGGUGGAAGACCACAAAAGAGACCCCUGCAAGUUUGUUCUUUGUGUGGGACACACACGGUCGUCGAAAAAGAUUGUUCUGAAGGCAUCCAGAAGACAGAAUCAGGAGGACUGGGUCAACCGGAUCAAGGAGGUGAUCCGAGAGCGCUCGGCGUACCACCACAAGUGCCUUGUGAAGGCACC